rnacentral:lncRNA from 1 species
GCAAACAUUAUUCAAGACUCAACUUUGUUUAAACUAGUUACAGAAAGAAGAACGUGCGACUUUCAGAGAUUUAAACCGACGUACCUCCCAGAUUUGAUCAUCUGUGUACUCUUCAAGAGGGUCCAAGUUACUUCUCAUUGUUCCUUCAAACAUGGUUGGAUCUUGGGGUAUAAUGCUUAGUCUUAAACGCAAGUCAUGCAACCCAAUGGUCAAAAUAUUCACUCCAUCUAUCCUGAUUUCUCCAGCUGAAGGUUCUACAAUGCGGAAAAGAGUUUGUAUCAAAGUCGAUUUCCCGCUUCCUGUCCUUCCAACAAUUCCUGUUCUUAAACCUCCUUUGAAUGUGCAUGUUAUUCCUCGCAACACAAGAGGCAUAUGUGGAGCAUAUUGAACCUAACAAUGUGUCAAAAUUUUGCCAAAUGGUUGAGAUAUAAAAUAAAACAAGUGCGAGCUCUAUAUCACAAAUUUUGAUAGGAGCAAGGUAUAAUAGAUAUGGAUACCUGAAGAUCACGGAGUUCAACUUCACCACGUGAAGGCCAUGAUUGCUCAGGUCGGUUCGAUUCGAUCACAAGAGGUGGUUCACUGGGAACACUUGCAUACUGAAGAAUCCUCUCAACCGAUAUGAUUUUGUUCUCAAGAUUACAGAGAGUCCAAAUCAACCAAGCUUGCAGUGUAUUCAAACUGAGUCCAUAAGUCACGGCUAAUCCCGCGAGACUCGGAUCAAUCACUCCAGUAGGUAUGGAGACCAAGAAAACCAAUGAAAAGACAAAUGUAAGUGAUGACAACAUAUCAAGACGAAAGCAAAGCCAUUCCAUUGCUCCAGCCGUAUAGAAUUUGGGCCUAGAGUAACCAUCACUUAGCCUCAUGUUGUCAGAACGGAAUCUAGAUUCUUGGCUGAAACUCCUAAUGGUUGUCGCUCCUGAAAUCGUUUCAGAAAAAUGCUGAAUCAGAGGAGCUUUGCAUACUCCAACUAAUCGCGAAAGUUCUCGUGCUGCAGCUAUGUAAUACCGCUGCAAAGUUGAAGCUUUUUGUCACAAUUUCAUCACUUUAAUAAACUUAACUAUACUUUGACAGAAUCAACAACUCUUAUGGAAGACUAAAUUGUAAAGCUUAUUGGAAAAUACCUGAUACCAUAUGGAGGCAGCAACCACAGGGAUGAAGACGAGAAAAACCAGCCAAGAAACUUGAGACAUAACUCCAAUGAUUCCAAUAAGCUGAAUGACUGUGAUAGCAACUGAUCCAAAUUGAUACGGUAGUUCCAAAUCUACUGCGGAUUGGUCGGUAGAAGCCUAUACAAGGAAAAAAUGGAACACAAUGAUUACCAAAUAGAUAUAUAUGGAAAUCCUCAAACAACUAUAGUGGCCAGCAACGUACUCUACUCAUGAUUCUUCCACUUGGAGUGGAAUCAAAGAAAGACAUCGGAGAACGAAAAAUGCAGUGAUGCAUUUUAUGAAACAGUUCAGUAGCAGUCUUGUAACCAGCGGUGACAAGAAGCGUGGCUCUAAGAAGAAUGCAGAGGGAACUUCCAAAGGCCAAAGCCACAUACACAAUCAUUAACGUGGAAAGUUUCACAGGAGCUUGCACAUCCUCAGAAACAGGAGUAGCCCAAGCCAUCCAGUAGUUGCUUCCAAUCUGUAGAAGCUGAAAGAGAAUUUGCCCCAACAAUAUGAAAGGCACAAGAGCUCCUCCGUAUGCCAGUGUGAUAUAUUUCCAGUAUACAUCCAAAGCGACACUACCUUUCUCCCUCUCUUCCUCUUGAACAAGUUGUCUUUGAGGCUCCCCAGAAUCUAAUUUAUCAUUCUUCAGAUCUUGACUUUCUUGUUUCCCUUCGAAACCGAUAUCAUCUUUCACAAUACCAUUUUGUUGGCCUAAAGUUGAUUUCUCAGAAACAGAAUUGGCAUCAACAGCAUCAACUACUGCGAGAGCCUCCUGAUGCGCACCUAUAAGCUCCAUGAAAUCAGUUCCAGAGUUGAGGAUAUCACUGUAUCUUCCAGCUUGGCUAAUUCUCCCAUCUUUCAUGACCUGAGGCAUAAGAAGAUUUUGGAUGAUUUCAUAUUCUCAGUGAUACAAAAUAUAUACUAUAUAGGAAGAUAAAAGACAAUAAACUAUUCACAUACCAGUAUAAGAUCAGCAGCAGGUAAGAACUCAACUUGAUGAGUUACAUAUAUAACCGAUUUGGAACACAAAAGCCCCAGUAAAACUUCCUGAAAUAAGUGUGAGAAUAAAAAUCAAUUUGAUACAUGAUUGUUUACAGAAGAAUAAACCACAAUCUCAAUAAUGGGUAAGACAGAAGAUUGUACCUUAAAGAGAUGUGACCCUGUGUGUGCAUCCACAGCACUAAAAGGAUCAUCGAACAGAUAGAUAUCCGCAUCUUGGUAGAGAGCACGUGCAAUCUGUAUCCUUUGCUUUUGUCCACCACUCAAAUUGAUGCCACGUUCUCCAAUAACGGUCUGAUCACCGAAUGAAAGUAUCUCCAGAUCCUUACUCAAAGAACAUGCUUCAAGCACCUUGUCAUAUCGUUCUCUUUCCAUAGGUUUGCCAAACAAGAUGUUAUCCUCAAUUUUACCACUCUGAAUCCAAGGAGAUUGUGCAACAUACGCUUUUGUCCCACAAACCUUCAGACUUCCAGAUAUCUUGGGUACUUCUCCUAGUAAAGAUGAAAGUAAACUCGAUUUCCCAGAGCCGACGGUACCACAAACUGCAACCUUCAUCCCAGGAAAGACCUUGAAAUUUAUGUCUUUUAGAGUUGGGUUAGGCGAUGAGAUAUCCCAAGAUAAAGUGCUGUUGAUCACUUCUAUUGCCACUUCUGAACUUCCCUUAGGAAGCCUCUCUACAAUGUCUGGCUGCAAAUUAUCCAGACAAAGGUAGGAUGCAAGUCUAUCAAGAGAGACUUUUGUCUGCACAAUCAUGGAGAUAGUGUCAGGAAGAUUGUAGAUCGGCUCUUGUAGAAUCCUGAAGGUUGCAAGUGCAGAGAGUAUCUUUCCUGAUUCAAGGGGAAUUCCAAGAAGUAUACAAGCACCAAAAGUGGAGACUGACACCAGAGUAGGAGCCCCCCAGAAAACAAAGCUAAUAACAGCCGAGUUAUACACAUACUUUUUCAGCCAUCCUUCCUCAGAUUUGCGAAGAUCGAAAAUCUUGGAGAGAAACUUCAUUUCCCAUCCUUGAAGCUUGAGAAUCCUCAUGUUUCUUAAGAUCUCAGAUGUUGAUUUCAUCCGGCUAUCCUUAGCUUCCAUUAACUUCUCCUGAAACCUCUCUUGCAUUCUCCCGAAUGGAAAAUUCACAAGCAUUACUAUAAUGGUAGCAAUUAAAGCCGCUAUUGAUGCUAGACCAAGAUUUCUAUACAAGAUCCACAGAGCUAGACCGACUUGUAACAAGACCAUCCAGGGGUCAUGCAUGUACCAACUAAAAUUACCAAUCCUCUCGGCAUCCACAGUCAUGAAAUUGAUAAUCUCCCCACUUGUGCGUCCUUGUUUUGACUGGCAUGAAAGGGUCAGACCCUUUUCGUAUAUCAUUGCAACCAAGACUGAUCUCAUCCUAAUACCAACCUUCUGUAGCCUAAAGAACCAAUGUCUCUGUGAAAGGCACUCCACAAGCUUAGCACCAAAGAAACUAAUGACUAGCACAUAUCCCUCGUGGUUGUACUGUCUACGUCCAUUAAGGUAUUGAACGAAAGUGUCAAUGAGUGCUGGCCCAACAUAUGAUGCAACCGUGUAGAUGAAAGCAAAGAAGGCUGUUACUAGAAUCUCCCACUGAGCCGAAAAAUACAACGCUUUUAUAAGCUUGAACGUGGUAACGCCACUUCUCUCGCCCCCAUCUGAUGCUUCAAGCAUACUCCUAAACUUAGGAGCUAACCCGAUUACGCUGUCAGUAUCAUGAAGCUGCGGAACAUCUUCUAGAUCAAUGAUUUUCUUGUUUCCAAGGUCUAUUAAUGGACUCAUCCAUGAGAAAGUCAAAAGCCUGAGAAUGCCAGCUCUCGAGUAAGGAGUAGCCUCAUCACUCCCAUUGGUUUUAUUCAACUCAACAGCGCCACCACCACCAACACGAGAAUCACCACCGUUCAAUAGAGGUUCUUCCAAAACUCCAUUACUGUUGCUUCUAUCUUUCUUGAGGAAAGCCACGUAACCGAGAAACACAGCAGCACUAAAAGCGACUAUAUCGAACACCAGAAGGUGAAAAGGUACGGUAUCAUGUCUCUUGUACAUCACAAAAUCUACCACAAGAGAGUAGCAAGAGACGGCGAGAUAGAAAACCAACCAUAGCCUAAGUAAAAAGGGAGCCUUUAAAUGCUCAAAAUCCCUGCAGCGAUGCAAACAAAUCGACAAAACCCCCCAAGAAACCAUUCCCAAUAGAAACCCAAGGGAAGAAACUAGCUGGUCACUAUCUGACCAGCCACUCUCGUACCAAUAGAAACCACUCAACGACAUCAACAGAAGAUUAAGCAGAGACAGGGCUAAACUACAAAAGAGAGCCGACUUAAACCCAAAAUCUCUCUUAUCUUUUAAGCUCUCCGUAACAUCAUAACCACCAUUUCCCCUAAUUCUCUUACGAACCCAUGAGCAAAAGAGGACCAGCAACAAAACCGCGUGUAAGAAACCAGAAACCCAUCUCAGGAAAAGAGGUUUAAGAAGAAAAGACCUAGAAUCCGGAGGCAAAAUAGAUUCCGAAAACGAGAACAGCAUUGCUAACAUACCGGUACCCGUCGUGGAACCGAGAAAGUCCAUGGCUUUAUCGCUCUCUCUCUUCUCUCUGUUUUCCAAUGAUUUGAAAAAGGUUCGUAAUUAAAAUAUUAUUUGGUAGCGGCGAGUUUUGGAGGAGGAGGCUACUUAUAGAAGAGUGGAGUGAUGAUGUAGACAGAAUAUCUUGGAGAGCACGCUCACGAAGCCAAGAGGAAGAAGAAGAAGAAGAAGAAGAAGAAGAAAGAGACAAGUCUCCGUUCCUCUCCUCUCAAACCCCACCAGAGCACUUUGGCUUCGUUUGUUUUUUACCACUUUCACGGGUCUUUGACAAUCUAUAUUUCCAAUUUAUUAAAAUGUUGAGAAAACAAAUUUGGUUACUGUUUUUUAGCCAAAAAAAAAGGAUAUUCGUUUAAUAUCCAUGUUUUUUUUUUUUCCUAUCUUAAGAUGAGCUGAUUUGUUGCCAAAAUAUUGAUACGAAUUUUGAAGAAGAAAAAAGGAAAUAAAGUUGGUACCUGCUAAUAGUACUAUAGAACUCAUGUAUUUAUUUUUACUUCUAUUUUGAAUUUUGCAGCUGUUUAAUUCGAUUUAUCAAUUGUAAAAAGGAAAAAAAAGAAGAGAAAAUCGAUUUGUUAAAACUUUCAUAAAAGAAAUUCUUUAUUCACAAGUCUCAUUGGAAAAGAUAGGGGAUAGAGCCAUUUUUUCGAAAGCAAGUGCUUGCUGACUUUUCAACUACGAUCCAUGUCUGUCUGAUGACGUACCAUUUACCUUUAAAUAAAGUUGUCUUCUUAGCUUGUGGUUCUAAAUUUAAGAUACUAGUACAUAUUAAGCUUCAAUUUUCAUUUUAUGUCACUUUUUAUUUUUUUCUAUGUUCUUUUUUUCUUUGUUAAAUAUCCGACACACUAAUACACUACGUAGACGAACCUUACCAUACAUUUUUAUCGGUAGUAUAUGCUAUCAUUUAGUCGUGAGAUCAAACAAAAACAAAUUUUAAUCCUCUUCAAAGGUGAAAGUGAAACCAUUAACAAAUGUAAACAUUUUUAACAUAAUUAAUCACAACGCACAGCCCAACAACUAACUUAUCAUACUUUUUUUGGGUUUAGAUAUUUUGGUAAAUGGAAAAAUAAACUAUUAUAAAUUUUGGAAUAUUUGGGAAGUUGUCUCAUAGUGCACAAAUUUCUUGGGAAGAAAAUCAAGAAGAUUCAUAGAGGAUUGGGCUGCAAGGAAGUGAUAAGUCUCUGUAUCUUAUCUGUCAAUAGCUGUCCCACAACAUCAUUAUCAUCUCAUAAGACUACUUUUUAUAACUAUAAUUUAAUAAUAUGGUCAGCAUUCAAAUUCAUACUCUAAUAAUCAAGUUAUCAUUCUUUAAGCCGUUAGUUUACCACGAGAUGGAGCCUGUGUGCAUGUAUGUGGUCAUAGCUACUGGACUCUAAAGUCCGAAGUCUACUUUUUCCUUUCUUUUGACAAGUCUUUGUCCAUACUUUAUUUUUGCCACUUCAAUUAUGCCACUUUCAUGGAAGUUUCAUCAUCUUAAAAAGUCAUGCACAAACGUCUGAUCACAAAUUACAUAGAAACACGACAAAGGCAAGGCGAUAAACAAACUUGUUUGGUCCCAUUUUUAUGGAUCUUUGAUUCUAUCAGCUUCUUCUGGAUUUGGAUUCAGAACUCGUUGUGUACUCCGCCACAAGCUUUGAGAAUAAUGACGACCUGUCUUCUAGCAAUCUCGCCGGUGAAUCAUGUUCUUUGAUAAGACCUGCAAUAGGAUACAUAAACAGAUUUAAUACAAGUCUUAUGAUUAUAAAAUGUAAACAUAAGUGCAUAAUCAAAGUCACGACCUUGGUCUAGGAGCAGGACCAUAUCGCUGUCUAUAACAGAAGAUAUUCUGUGUGCGAUUGUUAUCACUGUACAAUCCGCAAAGUGGUGCCUCAGAGUCUCCUGGAUCAGAUUAUCAGUAGCGGUAUCAAUAGAAGCAGUGGCUUCAUCAAGAACCAAUAGUUUGCUUCUCUUGAGCAAGACUCGUCCCAGGCAUACCAGUUGUCUCUGACCAACACUCCAGUUCUGUCCAUUCUCACUAACUAAAAUAUAAGAGAUUCCUUUCAUUAGAUGUGUUAAACAUAUUAGAGAUGACUCUUGUCAACAAUAGUUUUAUUAACACUAACCAGGGGAAUCCAGCUUUAGUUCUUUCUUCCUUACUUCAUCCCCAAGUUGACAAUUGUCGAGUGCCUGAGAAGAGAACAAAGAAAAUCGUCUUAGAACCUUCCUUUGGCUAUCUGCAGAAACAUCGAAAGAAACAAGAGCCAACGAACCUCCCAGAUUUGGUCAUCAGUGUAUUCCUCAAGAGGGUCCAAGUUACUACGAACCGUGCCUUCAAACAUGGUUGGAUCUUGAGGUAUGAUACUUAGUCUGGAACGCAGGUCAUGCAGCCCAAUGGUCA